UGGGGAAUAUUGCACAAUGGGCGAAAGCCUGAUGCAGCAACGCCGCGUGCGGGAAGAAGGCCUUAGGGUUGUAAACCGCCUUCAGCAGGGAAGAAACUGACGGUACCUGCAGAAGAAGGUGCGGCCAACUACGUGCCAGCAGCCGCGGUGACACGUAGGCACCAAGCGUUGUCCGGAUUUAUUGGGCGUAAAGAGCUCGUAGGCGGUUCAGUAAGUCGGGUGUGAAAACUCUGGGCUCAACCCAGAGACGCCACCCGAUACUGCUGUGACUUGAGUACGGUAGGGGAGUGGGGAAUUCCUGGUGUAGCGGUGAAAUGCGCAGAUAUCAGGAGGAACACCAGUGGCGAAGGCGCCACUCUGGGCCGUAACUGACGCUGAGGAGCGAAAGCGUGGGUAGCAAACAGGAUUAGAUACCCUGGUAGUCCACGCCGUAAACGUUGGGCACUAGGUGUGGGUCUCAACCAACGAGAUCCGCGCCGUCGCUAACGCAUUAAGUG
rnacentral:rRNA from 1 species